UUGACGGGGACCCGCACAAGCGGUGGAUGAUGUGGUAUUAAUUCGAUGCAACGCGAAAACCUUACCUACCCUUGACAUGUCUGGAACCUUGCUGAGAGGCGAGGGUGACCUUCGGGAGCCAGAACACAGGUGCUGCAUGGCUGUCGUCAGCUCGUGUCGUGAGAUGUUGGGUUAAGUCCCGCAACGAGCGCAACCCUUGUCAUUAGUUGCCAUCAUUUAGUUGGGCACUCUAAUGAGACUGCCGGUGAACAAACCGGAGGAAGGUGGGGAUGACGUCAAGUCCUCAUGGCCCUUAUAGGUGGGGCUACACACGUCAUACAAUGGCUGGUACAAAGGGUUGCCAACCCGCGAGGGGGAGCCAAUCCCAUAAAGCCAGUCGUAGUCCGGAUCGUAGUCUGCAACUCGACUACGUGAAGUCGGAAUCGCUAGUAAUCGUGGAUCAGAAUGUCACGGUGAAUACGUUCCCGGGUCUU
rnacentral:rRNA from 1 species